rnacentral:rRNA from 1 species
CCCUUAGAUGUUCUGGGCCGCACACGCGCUACACUGAAGGAGGCAGCGUGUACUCCUGGAUCGAAAGAUUUGGGUAACCCGCGAAUCUCCUUCGUGCUAGGGAUUGAGGUUUGCAAUUAUCCUUCAUGAACGAGGAAUUCCCAGUAAGUGCAAGUCAUAAGCUUGCGCUGAUUACGUCCCUGCCCUUUGUACACACCGCCCGUCGCACCUACCGAUUGAAUGGUCCGGUGAAAUCUCGGGACGGCGGCUUGGUCGCUUGCGUCCGACUGCUGAAACUUGAUUAAACCAUAUCAUUUAGAGGAAGGUGAAGUCGUAACA